UGUCUUUCUAAGUUGCUUAGGGGCUUGCUAAAUUGCUGAGGCUGGCCUUUAACUUGGUGAUCCUCCUGCCUCAGCCUCCUGAGUCACUGGGAUUACAGGUGUGUACCACCUCACCAGGUUCUUUUUUAUUUAUUUUGAGACAGGUGUCACUAUAUUGCUUAAGGCUUUGCUAAAUUGCUGAGGCUGGUCUUGAAUUUGGUGAUCCUCCUGCUUCAGCCUCCCUAGUUGCUGGGGUUACAGGCAUGCACUACUGCACUGAGCUUAUAUGAAAGUCUUUGCUUUUAUCUCCACUAUUUUAAAUAGGUACUAGUGUUGGUAACCAACAUGACCUAGUUUGGACAUUGAAGAAAUAUAUUUGUUUACUCAUUAUUUAACAUUUUAUGAGUGAUGGAAUAUUUUGAAUGAUAGCCCAAAUGUCCAUGAACUCAUGAAUGAGUCAAUGUUGGCUACCACUGAAACAAGGGUAAUGGAGAAAGGGCCUUCCAUUUUUUAAUGUAAUCUCUGUUAGCAUAGGUAAUGAAGUUCAGCCCAAGUGCCUCUUCUGUAAGCAUGAAGCAUAGUAGGAUUCAAAGGAAUAUAAAAUACUAUCUUCACUCUGGAGUUUAGAUAAAAUUUGCAUACACAGGGCUAGCUCAGUGGUAGAGCACUUGCCUAGCAUGCAUGAGGCCUUGGGUUCAAAUAUUGCAUAUACCAUCAAUCUUCUUCCCUUCCUCCUACCCUACCCUUUCUGUAGUACUGGGGCUCAGGUGAACUGAGGACCUUAAGCAUGCUAGGUAACUGACUCUGAUUGACUGCGACAGACUACACCCCAGCCCUAAAACCAAUCUUAAGGUGUAGUAGGUUAUAGUAUAGGAACUUAUAUGCUCCAAACUGAGAAUAUUAUGAGACUUCAGAAGAGGAAGGAAUUAGUAAGGUCCAUGGCAGAUAAAAGGACCCCAACUCCUUAGGAGCUAAUGGAAGAAAGAAGGAAAUUGGAGAGAUUAAUCUGAAUUUUUUUUAUAAAUUUGAUAAACACUUUAUAAAUAAUUGUUGGUGUUACAAGUUUUCUAAACCCAAUCUUGAGAAAGGUAAGACAUAGAUUUUGAAAUCAUUAUUACUACCAACAAUAAAAAAUUAAAAAAAAAAAAAGAAAUUUAACAGGAAAAUAAAAGCAAUUUUAAAAAAUCAAAAAAAAAAAAAAGAAAUCAUUAUUAUUAUUAUUUAUUUAUUUAUUUAUUUAUUUUGGUGAUUCUGGGAAUUAAACCCAGGGCUUUGUGGAUGCUAGGCAAGCAAAAUAACUGCAUCCCAAAUGCUUUUUUUUUUUAAAUAUUUAUUUUGGGGCU
rnacentral:lncRNA from 1 species